UACGUAGGGGGCAAGCGUUGUCCGGAAUUAUUGGGCGUAAAGCGCGCGCAGGCGGUUUCUUAAGUCUGAUGUGAAAACCCACGGCUUAACCCUGGGGGGUCAUUGGAAACUGGGGAACUUGAGUACAGGAGAGGAGAGUGGAAUUCCACGUGUAGCGGUGAAAUGCGUAGAUAUGGGGAGGAACACCCGUGGCGAAGGCGACUCGCUGGUCUGUAACUGACGCUGAGGCGCGAAAGCGUGGGGAGCGAACAGG
rnacentral:misc_RNA from 1 species